UAGUGUUACAGAUCUUUUAGAAUUUGUCUAGUAGGCUUUCCGGUUUUUGCAGGAAAGCCCCC
ensembl:snRNA U7 U7 small nuclear RNA